UUUAAGCUAAGCCAAACGUGUUUAAUAAAUAAUAAUAUACAUAUAUUUUAAACAAACAGCGCUACUGUAAUACUACUCUUCGCUCGUGUAAAAGCCUCUCAUUCCACCGCCAGAUUUUGUGUUUACUUCGAAAUUCCCUCAGAUCUGUGUUUUCCCUUUUACAUUCAUCAACUUUGCCCCGCGGUUAUCCACAAAUAUAAUCAUCAAAUGCGUGUUUUUUCAUUGUGAAUUUUUCGACAGUUGAUAAUCAGUCGGAAUGGUGAUUUAUGGACCAUUAAUACUUGGUCAGGUGACUCAGGUGUCAUUUUUCUUGGGAUAGUACCAAUAUGCAUUGACUGGAUAUGCUCAGAGUAUCUGGAGCAUAGGAAAAAUACCUCAUGGAAACUGUGUCGAUCUUUGAUCAAAUUUGAACAUAAAACGUUGAAGUAAUUUAGACAAUUGUGUGGAACAUUAUGUGUGAAGAUGUUUGAAGUGAUUUAUUAUGGUUUCUUAUAGAUACAUUUGCUGAGUAUGAAUAUUUGGUACCACAGCUGCUCGAAUGGCUUAUCAAAUUAUUCACUGAUUUAUUAUUAUUAUUAUUAUUAUUUUUUGAGUUUAUGAGACAUAUAGUAGAUUUUGUUGAAUUAAUGAGUGUGUUUUCUGGUGUGAGUUCUGACUGAAGCCAAAAGGCUCAGAAAAAUGGUAAGGAACAUAAUGUUAAUGUAUAGUUCUAUGUGUUUUCAUCCGAUCCUUUGGAAUUUUGUUACAUCAGUAAUGUACUUCAAAUUCGGGAUUCCUUUUGUGUGUGUGUGUGUGUGUGUGUGUUAUUUAGGUACAUAAAGUAUGAUAUAUAUUGUGUUAUAAUGAUAAUAGUUUUCUGAAGGAUCGUAAAAUUCCCUGUCCAAAUCUUGUACAUUUCAGUGGCAGGGAUUCUGAUAUAAAUUUGGUCGAGUUGGGAAAGGAAACACUCAAAGAAGAUAACAGAGCUGUUCUAUUGGAUGGAGGUGCUCUCUAGUCUUCAUCUCCUAAAGUUAGGAAUUCAUCUGUAACAUCUCGCAUUAUCAGUCAGGGUGUCUGUGCGUGUGAAUGUUUUAGAUUUCUGAAGGCAUAUCAACUAUCAUACUUAUGUGAUGGAAGAAGACUUUGAGGGAUCCAGUAGACUUGUCGUGUAAUCUAAGCGUACGAUGAGCACUAACAGCCUUAUACCUUUCUCUCUACUAUGUCCUUAUACUCAAUCCUUAGUCUUUUUUCAGUUUUCAGAUGUUAAUUUUAGAAACUAGGUAUUAUCUGCUAUAAUGCAGUAAAUCUGGUUGCUUAUCUUGUGCCAUUGUAUCCGUUCUAACGUUCCAUUUUGAUUAACCUCAAAAAUAAUAUCGAUGACUUUGCUUCUCUUAUACAAACUUUUUCAUUCUUUCCUAGAACUUAUAUCACUGACUAUUUGGCGCCUAAACUUGUUUCGAGACACUGAAACGGGAGCCGCUCAUAAAAAAAUUUGAAGGAAUAAGUUGCAAAACUAAUCCAGAUUAUCCAAACCUUGAAAUGAAAAGGAAAGGGCCCUUCAUUUAUACUUAAGAAGGGUCCAUAAGCUUGUGGAACGUUGUAUCUAAGGCACUUUCAGUUUGAGUAAAUUGUCUACUGAAAUGAGUUAUGCCUCAGUUUUAAGAAAGCAGUUUUACAUUGACAUUUGAAGUGUGCUGUAAAAAUAUCCUUUAAUGAUUAAGUACAUUGAUAUCUUGAUUGGUCUGCAUUGGAUAUUAUUCAUCUUAAAAGGUUAAAACCCUAACCUUAAGGGUCCCUCACCACCCCUGCCCUGGAGCAUCAUGAGG